rnacentral:rRNA from 1 species
CAUACUACCCUGAACGCGCCCAAUCUUGUCUGAUCUCGGAAGCUAAGCAGGGUCAGGUCCGGUUAGUACUUGGAUGGGAAUUGCUCAG